UACGUAGGGGGCAAGCGUUGUCCGGAUUUAUUGGGCGUAAAGAGCGUGUAGGCGGCCAGAUAGGUCAGCUGUGAAAACUCGAGGCUCAACCUCGAGAUGUCGGCUGAAACCAUCUGGCUAGAGUCCGGAAGAGGAGAAUGGAAUUCCCGGUGUAGCGGUGAAAUGCGCAGAUAUCGGGAAGAACACCCGUGGCGAAGGCGGUUCUCUGGGACGGUACUGACGCUGAGGCGCGAAAGCGUGGGGAGCGAACAGG
rnacentral:rRNA from 1 species